AUUAGAUGUUAUUAUUAUUUAUUGAUAUUGAUUUUAUAAGCUGUAUUCCCAAAUACCCUCAUUACUUUAUUCUCUCUCUCUCUCUCUCUCUCUCUCUCUCUCUCUCUCUCUCUCUCUCUCUCUGUGUGUCUGUGAAGGAGACAGAACACUGAAGUAGGAGUUGGAAUAUCUAGAUUCUCGUCCUGAAUCCUUUAUGUAAUAGGAGAGAAAACAAUUUAAUCUCUCUUAUCUAUAGAAGGAAUACCUUCUGUGAAGAUUGGAUUUGGCUCUCCCCUGAUUGUAACAAUGAAGAUGUUCCCAGCGCCAGUGGCACGGGCUCAUCCCGAUGGGGAGAGAGAGAACAGUGACGGGAGCCCAAGACUGUCAUUCAUCUUCUCCUGUUUGUGGGCCCUCUGCCAGACAGGAGUGUGACACCAAAGCAGCUGGAAAAGGUGUGCCCGGAGGAGGGAGUAAGCACAGCAGUGGAAUCAGAGAGGAAGUACCACAGCAUGGAAGAGGAGAAGGAAUAUUUGGAGGCAGAUAACCUUGAAUGGAUAAGAAAUAUCAGCUCCAAGUAGGAAAUCGGCAAGGGCAGGCAAUGGAAGUGAAGUGACAUGCCCAAGCUCAUGAGUCUAAGCCAGAUUUGAACCCAGGUCCUCUUGCCUCCACUGAACCAUUAGCUGCCUCAUGAUUCUGUGAUUCUUAGACUUGGAUUCCAAUCCCAACUGUGCUCCUUACAAACAUUGUUGCUUUAUUCUCCUGAACCUUAAUUUCUUCAUCUGUAAAAUGAAGACUGUUCUAGUUGAUCCCUAAGAUCUCUCUUCUACAUCUUAUAAUCCUUUAGAUGCAUACAAUAGUCAAUGUAUUCUAUCACUAUGUGAGAAAAUUGAUAUAUCAUUAUGGGAAAAAUGAUGGAUUAGAAGGGAAGUAAACUAGUUUUGAUGGAGGGGUCUACUACUUAAAAGCUGUGUGGCAGGGGCAGAGUACCAGGCUUGUAGUCCAGAGGACCUGGGUUCAAAUGUGACCUCAGAUACUUCCUGGUUGUGUGACCCUGGCCAAGUCACUUAACCCUGAUUGCCCAGCCUUUGCCACUCUUCUGUCUUAACCCUGACUGCUGUGGUAGAGGCAGUGGAGAGAGAGAGCACUUGUAAGCCAAGAUGCAAGAACGAGGGCUGGGGACCUGCCUGUCAAUCAGAAGAAGGUUCCAAAUGGAAUGUUCACAGGAGUUGGCAGUUGAGCUGACCAGGGGGAGGGGACUGGACUUGGAGUCACUCUCUCUGAAGGUUGAACCUGGCUGAAGGACCCUUGUAGGGCUGACUUGGUUUUGGGGAGCUCUCUGAUCAAGAGAAAAAUCCCUGAGAUUUGACUGAUCAAAGGCUGAAGAAGAGACUUUGAACUUUGUUUCUCCCUGGGGUUGAAACUGAGAAAGGAGACAAGCUAGGCUGAAGGAGAGAUUUUGAACCUUCUUUUCUCUCUUGAGAAGUUCUCAGACUGAAAGACCCUUGGGGUGGGGCAGUGGGGGGCUUCAGAAAUUAACCUGAGAGACCUUGCUGAUUUUGUGAAGAAGAAUAAAGAAGAUUUUGAACAGCUGUUGUCCUCCA
ensembl:lncRNA